rnacentral:rRNA from 1 species
UACGGGGGGGGCAAGCGUUGUUCGGAAUUACUGGGCGUAAAGGGCUCGUAGGCGGCCAACUAAGUCAGACGUGAAAUCCCUCGGCUUAACCGGGGAACUGCGUCUGAUACUGGAUGGCUUGAGUUCGGGAGAGGGAUGCGGGAUUCCAGGUGUAGCGGUGAAAUGCGUAGAUAUCUGGAGGAACACCGGUGGCGAAGGCGGCAUCCUGGACCGACACUGACGCUGAGGAGCGAAAGCCAGGGGAGCAAACGGG